UCCUCCUCCUCCUCCUCUGAAUUUAUAUACUGCCUUAUACCCAGAUGUCUCAGGGCAGUUCACAGAACAAAGUCAAAAUAUAAAACCACAAAAUAUAGAAUCAAAAUAAAAACAACCCAAUAACCACCCACCCACUCCAAAAAACCCCCACAUUUUAAUAGGGCAUAGGAUGCUAUGCAUUUUUUGCUUUGCAUCUUGUUAUCAAAGCAAAAGACAAUACAGUGGUACCUCGGGUUGCAGACGCUUCAGGUUACAGAUGCUUCAGGUUACAGACUCCGCUAACCCAGAAAUAAUACCUUGAGUUAAGAACCUUGCUUUAGGAUGAGAACAGAAAUCACACGGCGGCGGCAGCGGGGGGCCCCAUUAGCUAAAGUGAUGCUUCAGGUUAAGAACAGUUUCAGGUUACUAACGGACGUCCGGAACAAAUUAAGUACGUAACCAGAGGUACCACUGUAUAAGAAAUAAAAAUAGUGAUACACAUGCAUUUGGAAAUCAUACAUGUUCUAGCGCAGCACAUUGCAAUUGCUACAGAAGGGGGGCAGAAAAACCCGUUAAGUGGUCUGAGACGACUCUAUGGCUUUUAAGCGGUUCGUGGGGAAAAUGUUUGGGAGCCACAGCACUGCAGAAAAAUAAGGAAGUGGGAGGGAUGAACAUAGUUAGAGUCAUGCUGAAAAGUCAAGGAGAGGCCAAUGGCGAAUCAUAAUGGUUUUGCAGGCUGGAGAAUGAACUAAUUUAGACUGCAAUCCUAUGCCCACUUAACUGUGAGAGCAGGCAGGCCCUUUCAGUAUCAUUUGGAUAUCAGAAUUACUGCGCUUAGUUAAAUGCUUACGGCAUGUCACAUACCAUAAAUGAAUCUCCUUGGUUUAACAAAUAGGAUUCAAUGUCCUUGUUUUCAAAAGCUUAAUGUGGUAAAAGAAAUGCGCAGUCGUUAUCUGCUGGCCGUUUUGCUUCAUUUUCCCACCAGUAAUAGUUGUUUCAGUGUUCAUUAUUUGUAGCUGUGGUUUCAGGCAAGCGCCGGCUUCUUAAAUCAGUGUUCUUGAUCUUUCCAUUACAUCUGAAUUGAAAAGAGAUAGCAUCUCUCUAAUCGAAUUGCCAUUCAAAAAUUGGGAUCAUCGCUGUAAACAAUGCUAUCACUAACUCCUUUUUUAUUUUAUUUUUACGUAUUGCCAUUAAUUUCAGAUCUCAUUCAGAUUGAUUCUUACAGGAAAAUAUUUUAAUAGAUUUUGACAUUGUCCUCAAAGCAGGCAAACCUGACGAGCAAAGCGAUCGGCUGCCCUCUGCUGGAAAAACGUACGUUUUGACUAAGGAACGACUGUGCUUAUUUCAGCAUCAAAAUAAAACUUUAUUUCAGUUGUAUAUAACUAAAUAUAUAUGAAGUGUUUCAGUAGCAGCCUAAAAGACUAGAAAAUACCGGUUGAAAUGGUUAAUUUAAUGCAAGCCAAUCAAUUCCAAAAGCGUUAAGAGGCAUGUUUUGAAAAUACUGCAAAACCUUAAUCCAUACAUUGCAUAAAGUUCAAUUAGACGCAGCUUAACAUCAAGAUCUUUCCCUGACUCCUGAUUCGCACUGAUUAUUUUUUGCUCUGGUGAAUAAAAUAGCGAAUGACAUCUGUGAAAUAGUUUUUUUAAUUACUUCUAAUAUGUAUAACGCUAGUCAAUCACAAUUUUAAAAUUUGUGCCAUUAUCCAUGGCAUUUGAUGCUGUAAGAAUCAUAAGAAUUCACAACCACAUGAUUAUUUAUUUUUACUAUCAGUAAUAUUUUUUUAAAAAGACUCGUAUCACUUGAGAUGGUGUUUUCUCCUUUAUGCCAGAAUUCAUUUUUUUCAAGCUCACAUUGGAUUUGCUUAAGUUCCGAAAAGUCUGUGUUUUGCAGAACUCAAUGAAAUGGACCUAAUAGUUUUGCCAUGUUGUUGUUGUUUAGUCGUUUAGUCGUGUCCGACUCUUCAUGACCCCAUGGACCAGAGCACGCCAGGCACUCCUGUCUUCCACUGCCUCCCGCAGUUUGGUCAAACUCAUGCUGGUAGCUUCCAGAACACUGUCCAACCAUCUCGUCCUCUGUCGUCCCCUUCUCCUUGUGCCCUCCAUCUUUCCCAACAUCAGGGUCUUUUCCAGGGAGUCUUCUCUUCUCAUGAGGUGGCCAAAGUAUUGGAGCCUCAGCGUCAGGAUCUGUCCUUCCAGUGAGCACUCAGGGCUGAUUUCCUUAAGAAUGGAUAGGUUUGAUCUUCUUGCAGUCCAUGGGACUCUCAAGAGUCUCCUCCAGCAAUAGUCUCUUCAUUUAAAUAAAUGAUGUUAAAUGAUGUUGUGAGCCACUUUGCGCAAUCAUGGAAAGGCGAGCUCUGUACACAUUUAUCUGGGAAUCGGUCCCAUUGAGCUCAGUAAGGCUUGCUUCUGAGUAGACACGCGUAUGGUUGCCCUUGUCAGUCAAGUGCUUGCCUGCAUGAGUGCCAUGCUUGAUCUCUCAACAUAUUCACUUUCCUGUAAUAAAGAUCUGUUCUCCAGACAUCUACCGCGACCCUAUUUCAAGAACAGCUCUCAUAUCCAUUCUAGAAAGGGGGAAAGUAUAUACAACAAAUUGCUGCAUAUCCAUCGCUCAGUGGUAGAUCACCCCCCCCCCAUUUUUAUGUAUUUUUAUUUUGUACUUUUCAAGUUUGUACAUUUCACUAAUUUUACAAUCAUUUUGACAUUUCAAAACUUGACUUCCUUCCCCCUCUUUCUGCGGUUCCUUAAAUUUGUUUUUAAUAUCUUCCUGCAUAUCCAGAUUAACUUAGUUUGCUCAUUUAUUCAUCUUCUUUAAAUAUAUACUCUUAUGAAACUGCAGGUUGUUACAAUAAUCCUGCCAAUGUUUUUAUCUGUUUAUAAUUUAUCUGUAAAUAUUCAAUAAACCAUUUCCAUUCUUUUAUUUAAAAAAUUGUUAUCUUGAUUUCUUAUUCUUCCGGUAAGUUUCACCCUCUCUGCAUAUUCCAUAAGGUUUUUUUUAACCAUUCUUCCUUUGCUGGGGCUUCUGCUGCUUUCCAUUUUGGGGCAAGAAACAUUCUUACUACUGUAUUAGCAUGCAUUAAUAAGUUUCUAUACAUUUUAGGUAGUUCUGUCCCUAUAAUUCCCAAAAGAAAAGCUUCUGGUAAAAUGACAAAGGUUAUUUUACAAAGGUGUUUUUUUAUAUACAAAGUUUAUUUUAAACAUCCUUUUCAUUUCGGUAUAUAUCAUUUCCCAGUAAGCUUUAACCUUACUACAAGACCACUACAUAUGAUAAAAAGAAUCUUCUUUCUCUUUACAUUUCCAACACUUAUUUGAUUUAUAUUUUUGCCAAUUUACUCAGUGCUAGGUACCAUCGAUAUAACAUUUUCAUAUGAUUUCCUCUUAGACCAUAACAUGCUGUAAAUUUUAUACCCAUAUUCCACAAUCCUUCCCAUGCUUCCAUGUCUAUAUUAUGACCAAUAUCUAUUUCCCAGUAUAUCGUUGAGGGUUUUACUUGCUCAUCCUUUGUCUCCCAUUCCAAUAAUAUUUUAUACAUUGGAAGAGCAUCCUCUUGGCUUACAGACUGUUCCAAAUUUAAUCUCCCGCAUCUCCAGGUAGGACUGGGAAUGUUCCAGGUCGGUACCAUUGGAGUGCCACUUCCAGUUGGUGUAUUAGUAUAUCAUUAAUAACAAAAGUGUGCAUACUGACCUUUAUCUGAAGAUCACAGGGCAGUUCACAACAGGGGCAUAGCUUGGGGGGCUGUGGUCCUGGGCACACAAUUUUGAGGGGGCACAAACCAGGGAUCCCCAUGCAGCAAUCUCCGUCCUGCCCUACCUGCCAUCAGGGGUCUCUGGGCCCUGGAGCCUGGCGUGGCCUUGCCACUGCAUCCCCUUGCUGAACGGCCGCCUGGCCAGCACUCGCUCACUCCUCGCUCAGAUGGUGAGUGGCUGCAUGAGGAGGGAGAAGGGCAAGGGGCGAUCCCAGCAUGGCCCAGUCUGCUUUGGGGGGAUUCACCCGUCAAGGGCUGCGUUGGCCAACUCAGCUUUCCCCUGUGCGGGCAGGCAGGCAACACAGCAUGCCCCGGGCACCAGCAAAUGACGCUAUGCCACUGGUUCACAGCAUAAAAGGUGUAGACGACAGUGAAUGUCUAUCAGCCAGAACGAAUUAGCUUGCUCGGGUGGCGGAUGCUGACAGGAGGGCAGUGAAGUGAUGGAGGAGAGGUGGCAAGCUCUGUGCGCCACUUAGGCUGCCCGUCGCCCUUAAAGUUAGCCUGCUGAACUUGGUUGUGAUGGUGGGUUCCCCCCCGUCAUCAGUGUGGCUUCUAUACAUGUCAUGGAAGGCCACCAUCUUGUCAUUUGAGCAGCAAAAUGACUUCGGCCAAACCAAGCAGCCUUCCAGAGCAUGACAGGUAUACAGACUUUGACCAAGAGGCUGAUCCAGAAAGCCAGGGUAGCCCUGGGAUGGGCAAACAGGAACAUAUAUCAGUGGCAGAAACAGCACCAAGAACAUGAGUAGGCAAACUAAGGCCUAGGGGGACGCAUCCGGCCCAAUCACCUCUAAAUCCGGCACGCGGACAGUCCGGGAAUCAGCGUGUUUUACAUGAGUAGAAUGUGUCCUUUUAUUUAAAAUGCAUCUCUGGGUUAUUUGUGGGGCAUAGGAAUUCAUUCGUUUUUCUUCCAAAAUAUAGUCCGGCCCCCCACAAGGUCUGAGGGACGGUGGACCAGCCCCCUGCUGAAAAAGUUUGCUGACUCCUGAUCAAGAAGAAAGAAGAUGAAACUCAGCAAAGAGGACUCGUUGGCAACAUUAGAUACAAGCCUUUCCCUUGCAGAAGUUGAAGUAUUAGCAUUACAUCUGCUCAAUUACCAAAGCUAAUUAGCCCCCUCCGCCCUUAUUUCAAAGCUAUUUUUAUGUUUGUAUGAGAAAAGCACCUGGCCAAUUUGGUUGCCAAUAAAUAUCUCCACAGACUUUUCUGAGA
rnacentral:lncRNA from 1 species